CUGGGUCACAGCUCUCCAAUCCAGUCCCCAUCCGAAGCAAGUUUCUCCAGACCUUCAUCUUUGUGGCUCCUGUCUGAACCCUGCCAACAUUUCAGCAACUGGCCACGUUCACCAGGGCUGGACACAGCAGCACUGACGAUCUCACGAGGGCCGUGUACAGAGCAUGACCCAGUGCCCU